UACGAAGGGUGCAAGCGUUACUCGGAAUUACUGGGCGUAAAGCGUGCGUAGGUGGUUUGUUAAGUCCGUUGUGAAAGCCCCGGGCUCAACCUGGGAAUUGCAUUCGAGACUGCAUGGCUUGGGUGCGGAAGAGGGAAGCGGAAUUUCCGGUGUAGCGGUGAAAUGCGUAGAUAUCGGAAGGAACACCAGUGGCGAAAGCGGCUUCCUGGUCCGACACCGACGUUCAGGCACGAAAGCGUGGGGAGCAAACAGG
rnacentral:rRNA from 1 species